UUUGAACAGUGGAAGAAAGGUCUCAAUAGGUGAAUGCAAUUUCACUUAACUGUUAAGGAGUAGUUAAUUUAUACAGCCCUAAAAUUACAUUCAGACCAUUGAAGGCAACCGUGAUGCUGAUGUGGCCACUGGUGAAAAUGAGUUUGACAUCCCUGUAUUAGAAGCUACCCAGACGAAA